rnacentral:misc_RNA from 1 species
UGUUUGCUGAAAGGACUGC